UAAAAAUCGGAUCCCCUUGCAGGGCUGCUUGCCUAUAUUGUGCCUUCAUGUUAAUUAGGAAAAGGCAACCUUUUGUCCUGGCAGAGGAAGCCCUCCAGGGGACCUGAUUUGGUGUGGACAAUGGCCAGGGCACAUGGCUUUGCCAACGAAACAGAGGCUGAAUUUGAGCCCCAGUCAGCCCUUGGCUGGAGGCCCUAGAGCACAGUGGCAGGCAGUGGACACCUCUGUUCCCUCGUGCUGCUCACAGGCUGCAUGUAUCUCCAUUGUCAUCCUAGGAGAUGAGUACCCUGCUGAAUUAUACCGAGUAGAGGAAUCUUCGCUGAGAGGCAGUCUAGCACGGUGGGGACUGCAGACCAAAGCAUGGAAGAGUGAAGGUUCUAAAGUCAGAUGUCCUGGCCUUGAAUCCUGCGUCUCCCAAUUAAUAACCCGAGACCUCAGGUUAAAGUCAAGAUAUAGCACAUUCCAGGCUUUUGGGAAUCUGGCCUCGCCCACCUUUUUACCUACACCUUCAACCUUGAACCUUGUAGCCCAAACGAUUUGUGGUUUCCGAAACCUGCUAUUGCUGCACCCUCCCCCAUUCUAA
rnacentral:lncRNA from 1 species